CCCAACUCUGGCAGUGCCUACAUCCUUAGCUUCCAACACAGUGCCAGUUGCCCCUCAGGGCCCAGUGAAGGGCAGAGAAGGAAGAAUGAAUGAAGGCAGUGGUACUAGCAGCCCUCAGGCAUAAUGAUGUCACUAUGGUUUCUACGAGAAAAACUCCAGCAGCAGCUCUACCUUGGUCUCCAUGGAAACAGGGGUCUUUACACUGUCCUUCAAAUUCCUGCUGAAAAAAAAAAAAGCUACAUGUCUGGGAAAGAUGCCACCCCACCCUGUAUGGCUACCUCCUAUGCCAGCUGAUGCCUCUCCCAGCAGGGAUCUCCAGUGAGGCUUCUUGGUUCCUCCUUUUUCCUGCUCAUUGGAACAUA
rnacentral:lncRNA from 1 species